UGAAUAUCUUCAGAAAAUCAGAAAACACGGAACGUAAACCAUCAAUCAUUGCAGCUUUAUACGUUUGUAGUUGAUAAAUGUCAUAAUCUUGAGAGUAGUUGCUACAGUAAAACAGUACAUGGAGUAGUUGCUAUAGUAAAACAGUACUUGGAGUAGUUGCUAUAGUAAAACAGUACAUGGAGUAGUUGCUAUAG